UUUUUGGAGGGCAAGUCUGGUGCCAGCAGCCGCGGUAAUUCCAGCUCCAAUAGCGUAUAUUAAAGUUGUUGCAGUUAAAAAGCUCGUAGUUGAAUUUCGGGGUUCUACCGUUGGUCGGGCAAUAGUCUGUACUGGCGUGUAGAAUUUCUACCUUCUGGGGAACCAUCAUGUUAUUUAUUUAGCGUGGUGGGAAACCAGGACCUUUACCUUGAAAAAAUUAGAGUGUUCAAAGCAGGCUUACGUCUGAAUACAUUAGCAUGGAAUAAUAAAAUAGGACGGUGGUCCUGUUUUGUUGGUUUCUGAAUCACCGUAAUGAUUAAUAGGGAUAGUUGGGGGCAUUAGUAUUCAAUUGUCAGAGGUGAAAUUCUUGGAUUUAUUGAAGACUAACUUCUGCGAAAGCAUUUGCCAAGGAUGUUUUCAUUAAUCAAGAACGAAAGUUAGGGGAUCGAAGACGAUCAGAUACCGUCGUAGUCUUAACCAUAAACUAUGCCGACUAGGGAUC
rnacentral:rRNA from 1 species